UGUGUGGUCAGAAAACAACUUUUAACAGUA
rnacentral:piRNA from 1 species